GCCUCCGUAUUGUAGCCCGGCAAGCAUACCGGACUUUCGAUCCGGAGACGCGAGUUCGAAUCUCGCCGGAGGCA
rnacentral:tRNA from 1 species